rnacentral:snoRNA from 1 species
CUACAGGGAUGAUAUGAAAACUGAACUCUCUCUUUCUGAUGGUUUAGUGGGGAAAACAAAAAUUCUCUGAGUAGC